UAAUCCCUGCCCUAGCGGUGACUGAAGGAACUUUGAGCCAACACAUCUGAUACGGGAAUCUGACUUCAGAUAUGGCGUGCAGUCUCAUCAUAAUUGAGAAGCAUAAUGUAUCUGAGAGGAUACCCCCUUGGGAUUUCGACUCAAAGCUUUCCUUGUCAUCCAGGGGCAGGGAUUUU
rnacentral:other from 1 species